rnacentral:lncRNA from 1 species
GGCCGCGCGUCGAUGCCUCGGACAUUUGCGAAUUUCUGGGCUUGCGGACGAGUUUUGUUACGCGGCAGCACCCACAAGAAAAGGCCCUUCAUGGCCACAACUUCGUGACAAGCGGCUGGGUACGCGAGCCGCGAGUGAAGCAAAUUUCUGCCGAUAGCGGGAUCGUCAUGACACAGGUAAGCUUGUAAGGACGUUUUGGUGCCCGGCAGGUAUUUGUCUUGUCCAUUCUUUUUAUCGGGUGACCCAUUCACAGGCUCUCAACAAGCCUCCCGUCGAAGUGUGGUUCCUGGGGAACGGUGACGGAGAAAUCCUUGCCGCGCAC